ensembl:lncRNA
GAAAGAGUGGGGAGUGUGGCCGCUGCUCCUAGGAGCCUUAAUCCAGGCUUUCACGGUGAUUGCAUGGAUUGCUGACAUCACCCCUUGCCUGCCUCCACCUCAUCAUUCAUGAUAAAAGAGGGAUGCUCUUCAUAAAAUGCAGAUUAGACAAGGUUACGUCCUUGUCCAAUGUCUCGGUGGCUUGCUGUGGAUGGCAGAAGCUUGGCAUUCUUUGCAUUUCAUGCCAGUCUCUCCCAGCCUGGCUAUGAUGUCCCUCUCUAGACACAUCUCCACGGAGCCCCAUGGUUAUGCCACACUGCAGCUAGUGUCUCCAAGUGCUGGUCUGAGGAGAUUUUUCUCAAGAUAUUGGAAAGUCUGGCUAAAUGAAUGUGGAUUUAAAUCAAACUCCACACACACUGAGAACGUCUGAGAAGGAGCCAAGUGGGUAAAGUUUGAGGACCAAGCUAACACUUCAGUGAAUUCAACUGGGAAAACACACGGAAGGCAUUUGGAACACAACUUCUAGAAUAUAUCCAGCUGUCUUUUGCCCCUUCCCUUCUGCCUGAGAUGCCAAUCGCUUGUGAGUUACAAAAAUAACUGUUCUACAUGUACAGGGGAUACAGAAAAAAAACCUGUUAUAUGCUUGGCAUAUAGUAGGAAUAGAGGCUCUGGUGAGCCAAACAUAUAAACACAUGAUCACAGUGUGUCAAAAUGAAGGGUGUCUUGGCAGCAUAGGGCGGAGGGCUGAGUUAUGUGGCCAGGGGACAGUAACUCUGCCUUCUUCACUUGACCUACCACUAAAGUGUGCCCCAGUUUAACCUCCUGUAUUUUGAGCUUAUUUCUUCUGUGCAAAUACACAUGUCGUAUCUUCUUGAUAUAUUAGCGCCUAGCAAAUGCUCUCCAAUUUGUUUCUAAUGAGAUGUCUCAAAGUCCACCUUGGGGGAUAGAGAGAUGUUUUAGUGGGUAAGACUGCUAGAUGCACAAACGUAAGGACCGGAGUUGAAUCCCUGGCUCCCGUAUAAAAGCUGAACAUGGCUGCAUGUGCCUGUAACAUUUUAUGUUAUAUAUGGUUUGCUAUAGUUUUAAACGUUGAAAAGAACAUCUAGGAUGAAGAAAAUAGAGGAUGUUUUUUCUUCUUUGACUGUUUAAGGAUUCACCUUUAUCAUGAAUGUUUCAGUAAUUAUCUAGACCAGAGACUUGAUGAUGACUUCGGAGGAAACAAGUAGUUUGACCUGGCCCACCACAGUCCAUAGGCCAGUACUCUGGAAAAAACUAACCAAAAUGCCACAUGUCAUCUCUGUAUUUGGAUUCAGAACCCACGUUGAUGGUGGCAAGAUGAUCGGCUUUGGCAUGGUUUAGGGUUCCUUGAAUUAUGCCAAGAAAAAUAAGCCCAAACACAGACUUGCAAGACACAGCUCUAUAAAAAGAAAAAAGAGUUUAGAAAACAGUGUUAAAGAGGCAAGAACAGGAUAAAGAAAAGCGGGGUCGGUAGUUGGUAGGAGAGCAGGGUGUCUGCAAAGACGGAGGGUGGUGCUGGCAGAAGCGACCCGAGACUGGUCUUGGCAGAAGGAGUGAAGAGUCUGCAGUGACUUGAUCUGUGGUGACAUGCACAUUUCUAAGCAGAGGACUAAUAACCUGCACAAUUUUAACAAAAAAGUGAUUUUUAAACAGCACAUCCCAGGGCAAUGCUGAACAUGGCUUGGUGUUGUGGUGGUUUGAAAGAAAAUGUCCCCCAAAGGGCGUGGCACUAUUAGGAGGUGUGGCCUUCGUGGAGGAAGUGUGUCACCGUGAGGGUGGGCUUUGAGGUCUUUUCUCAACCUUCCCUCGGUGUGACAGAGUUGACUUCCUAUUGCCUGCAAGAUG